CUCACCCCAUCUGGGCCCCACGCCUCUCCCACCCUCUGGUUUAUGGUUCUGGCAUGUGAAUUGGAGUCCAGAGCCAACUGCACACAUGGCCUGAGCCUGUUCUGCUGGGGAGUGGAGAGAGACAAGAAGAGGGCUUCCCUCCACAGCCACCAUCCUGUUGAGCAAUGCUAGAUGGAAAAAAGGACAGAUGAGACUAGCAAACAGCAUGGAGGCCGUGGGCCACAGGGUCUGUCUUUUCUGCUAUGACUUAAGCUUCACAAGGCUAGGAUCCUUGACUCGUUCCUUAAUCUAUCUCAAGUGCCUAGACCAGUGCCUGGCAGACUGUUGGUGCUCAUUAUACAGUGUGGGAUGGACAAAUAUCUCCAAUCAGCAAUGGAAGGAGCA